rnacentral:lncRNA from 1 species
CCAUUUGCGAUUGAUGAUCUUCAAAACCCUCAAAAAUGUGAUAAUUACACGAUUAUGUAAAUGACAUUGUGUUACUAAACUAACAGCAUCUUAAAUGAAAAGCUACCUCGUACUCGGCUUGUAUAAGUUCCUUGAGCACACUCAUUCAUCCUAACCUACUAGACCCUAAAUCCACCGUAUCUUGAUACGCCUUCACUGCAGCCACAUAGGCGUCACCGUGGGCGUUUUGUAGUCCAGCCUACAAUCGUUUGGAAUAAUGAAUUAGUAAGCUAAGUGACAACAAACAUACAAGUGGGGACCUUUAUGUGAGUGUCUAAUACAAUAAUAAUUGAAUUGAACUAUUCACCCAUGCAAGUCUUCGUGCGUCAUCCUCUAUUAAAAAUUCAUUAGAUUGAGCUUCACACAGUUGUACUAUUUCACCCUUCAAGCAUUUGAAAAGUAAAAU